UACGAAGGGGGCUAGCGUUGCUCGGAAUCACUGGGCGUAAAGCGCACGUAGGCGGAUCUUUAAGUCAGGGGUGAAAUCCCAAGGCUCAACCUUGGAACUGCCUUUGAUACUGGGGAUCUCGAGUCCGGAAGAGGUUGGUGGAACUGCGAGUGUAGAGGUGAAAUUCGUAGAUAUUAGGAAGAACACCAGUGGCGAAGGCGGCUCACUGGUCCGGUACUGACGCUGAGGUGCGAAAGCGUGGGGAGCAAACAGG
rnacentral:rRNA from 1 species